CAGCAGAAACGGCAAAAUACUUGAAAGGGUAUUACGCAAAACUACCGAUCUAAGGGGCUGACCUAUGAUAGCGGGGUUUCCAAC
rfam:Colwellia sp. Phe_37 scaffold_313, whole genome shotgun sequence.